rnacentral:rRNA from 1 species
GACGAACGCUGGCGGCGUGCUUAACACAUGCAAGUCGAACGGAAAGGCCCUGCUUUUGUGGGGUGCUCGAGUGGCGAACGGGUGAGUAACACGUGAGUAACCUGCCCUUGACUUUGGGAUAACUUCAGGAAACUGGGGCUAAUACCGGAUAGGAGCUCCUGCUGCAUGGUGGGGGUUGGAAAGUUUCGGCGGUGGGGGAUGGACUCGCGGCUUAUCAGCUUGUUGGUGGGGUAGUGGCUUACCAAGGCUUUGACGGGUAGCCGGCCUGAGAGGGUGACCGGCCACAUUGGGACUGAGAUACGGCGCAGACUCCUACGGGAGGCAACAGUGGGGAAUAUUGCACAAUGGGCGGAAGCCUGCUGCAGCAACGCCGCGGGCGGGAUGACGGCCUUCGGGUUGUAAACCGAUUUCGCCUGUGACGAAGCGUGAGUGACGGUAAUGGGUAAAGAAGCACCGGCUAACUACGUG